rnacentral:rRNA from 1 species
UACGUAGGGUGCGAGCGUUGCCCGGAUUUAUUGGGCGUAAAGGGCGCGUAGGCGGCUCUGCACGUCCGUUGUGAAAUCGCCCGGCUCAACUGGGCGGGGUCAGCGGAUACGGCGGAGCUUGAGCAAGCUAGGGGGCAAUGGAAUUCCCGGUGUAGUGGUGGAAUGCGUAGAUAACGGGAGGAACACCAGUGGCGAAGGCGGUUGCCUGGGGCUUUGCUGACGCUGAUGCGCGAAAGCGUGGGGAGCGAUCCGG